UCCAUGUUCUUUCUCAGAGGUGUGGACACUAAUUGGUGUCAGGCCAAGCAAACAAUUUAUUCUUCCCCGAAUUAACUCUUUAUGGUUUGUGCAGCAGCCUUAUAUGUAUCAAGAUGCAUUUUAUUAAGUCUUCAUGGGUAUCUGGGACCUGGUAGAGUUAGUGGGACUUGGGAGUAGGAAUGGGAGAAAGGGCCAGCAUGAUCUUACUAUGCAGACUGUAUUUCCAGAAACCUGCUCAGCCAGCUCCUGAUGGAGAACACAUGUAGGAAGAAGUUGGUCCCACUGAAAGAGGAGAACAAGGAGGGACAUCUUGAGUGUGCACUGAACCAGAAAUAUUUGGUUGACUUCAACAAGAAAGAUAAAGACCAUCAACGGCCAGAACCAGCAUUAUCAGGUCUCAGAAAGUGCAAGAGAGCUGGAAUUGGACACACCCCAGUAAGAGAGCUUCCUGAAGAAUAAGUUGCUUUCUCAGGAGUCCCUGAUGACCAACAUCCUGAAUGAAAACAGCACUUGAGAGACAACUUGGGGGACCGCCUUUCAUUAUGUGUGCUAGAGGAGAAACAGCAAUACGUCUGUGCUUCUAAAUGUUCGUUAAGAAUAUGCUUUUAGAAAUAUUUUUGUUAUGAUUUUAAUUGAAGUUUUCUUUUUGUUGUUUCAUAUUUAUAUGUUCUUGUUACUAUUUUUACUUUAAAAUAUUUUUAAAUAUUUUUAUUCAUUUUAAUCCUGUUUUGUUGUAAAAAUAUAUUUGUUAUGAAUAAAAAUUGAAUUCUAUCUCUUGACUCUUAAGACCAUCUUUCUUACUCAAGGGUUCUGUCCCUUCCUGUGGACCUAGAACUGACAGCUACAGAUGGAUCUCUGCAUGUUCCAUGGAGCCUGGGCUAAUAAGUGAAUUCAAAGUCACCAAGGUGUACCCAGUGUGACAGUGUCUUUUGUGUGGAUAAUGUGGCUGUUUCUCGGACACACACUUUAUGAUGUAAUCACUGACAUGCUUUACCCAAAUGUUAGGGUCCUUGUGGUUCUUCUGAGAGAGCAGCAGAUGCUCUACCCUGUGAGUCAUCACCACAGCUCCUGCAGGUGGCUUUUGUUAUUCCACAUGAGGUGCUGUAUUAGGUGGACAAGAUCACCUAUGAUUAAAUAGAGAGAU